rnacentral:rRNA from 1 species
GCCUAAUACAUGUCAAGUCGAACGGUGGUAGCAAUACCAUAGUGGCGCACGGGUGCGUAACGCGUAACCACACCUGCCCCGAUCUGGGGGAUAGCCCGCCGAAAGGCGGAUUAAUACCGCAUAACCCAACAAGGUGGCAUCACCUAAUUGGUAAAGAUUUAUUGGAUCGGGAUGGGGUUGCGUGACAUUAGCUAGUUGGCGGGGUAACGGCCCACCAAGGCGACGAUGUCUAGGGGACCUGAGAGGGUGAUCCCCCACACUGGCACUGAGAUACGGGCCAGACUCCUACGGGAGGCAGCAGUAGGGAAUAUUGGGCAAUGGACGAGAGUCUGACCCAGCCAUGCCGCGUGCCGGAUGAAGGCCUUCUGGGUUGUAAACGGCUUUUCUCAGGGAAGAAAAAGGGGAUGCGUCCUCAACUGACGGUACCUGAGGAAUAAGCACCGGCUAACUCCGUGCCAGCAGCCGCGGUAAUACGGAGGGUGCAAGCGUUGUCCGGAUUUAUUGGGUUUAAAGGGUGCGUAGGCGGCUUGUUAAGUCCGGGGUGAAAGCCCACUGCUCAACAGUGGAACUGCCCUGGAUACUGGCAAGCUUGAGUCCAGACGAGGUUGGCGGAAUGGAUGGUGUAGCGGUGAAAUGCAUAGAUACCAUCCAGAACCCCGAUUGCGAAGGCAGCUGACUAGGCUGGUACUGACGCUGAGGCACGAAAGCGUGGGGAGCGAACAGGAUUAGAUACCCUGGUAGUCCACGCCGUAAAACGAUGGAUACUCGCUGGUGGCGAUAGAUAGUCACU